AUGGAACUAAAUCGGCCGAAUUCUUUUAAAAAUAAUAUACCAGACAGAAAGUGGUUGCAAGGGUUUUUGAAAAGAAAUCCCACAGUGAGUCAACGUGUUUCGCAAUCCUUAACAGUUUCUCGUGCAUCGGUAACAGAAUCUUCCAUAAGAAGUUGGUUUAAAAGAGUAUAUCAAUACUUGGAAAAUAACAAUUGUCUCGAUGUUUUAGAAGAUUCAACACGAAUCUUCAACUGUGAUGAGUCCGCGUUUUUUCUUUGUCCAAAAGGUCAAGCAGUUUUGACAAAACGCGGUUCAAAGCAUGUAUACUUCAGAUCUGGCAAUGAUGAUAAAGAAUGUUUUACAUUAUGCAUAGGAGCUUCCGCUUCCGGUAAAAUGAUGCCAACUUUUGCUCUCUUUCCAUACAAAAGACUUCCAACCAACAUACUUUCCAAAUUUCCUUCUGAUUGGGCUAUUGGAAAGUCGGAUUCAGGCUGGAUGACCUGUGAAACAUUUUAUGAAUAUAUAACAAAUGUCUUUUAUCCCUUCAUCCUGAAAGAAAAUAUACAACUCCCAAUCGUACUAUUUUUGGAUGGGCACACCUCACAUUUGUCGCUGCAUCUUAUUGAGUUUUGCAAGAAGCAAGGAAUCAUACUUAUAGCGCUUCUUCCAAACUCGACACACUUGCUGCAAUCAAUGGAUGUUGCAGUAUUUCAUAGUUUAAAAAAUGACUGGAGAAAGCAAAUACAAAAUUGGAGAAUGCUAAAUAAUGGACAAAGAAUAAAACGGGAAGAUUUCGGACCUAUUGUUCAGAAAUACAUACAAUCUACAAUCACUUCUGAUAUACUACAAAACGGUUUUAAGGCUUGUGGCAUAUUUCCGUUUAAUGAAGAUGCAGUGGCUUACAAUAAAAUUUUAAAACCUGACAUCAGAGACACAUCCAAUAUAAUCAGAGUACCAAACAUGAAUAUCGCAGAAAUUUCAGAGAACUAUGAAGCAACAAAAACACUUGAAACUAAUUCCGAAGAAUUUUUACAAAGUUUUGAGAAAAGGUUGCCGGCUGAAAAGCUUAAACUGUUUAUUGAGUGCAGCGGAACUUGGAAAGGUGAUGUUAAGGACGAAAACUUAUUUUACUUUUUGAGAAGUGUUAAGAAUGAGCAAACAAGCAGCUGCAUUGCAAGUAUUUCUAAUUCCGAUCUUAAUAUUACGAGUAUUUUAGCUAACAACGACUGUUUAUUGGAUAUCGAAAACAUGAGUAUUGAUUUCAUAGAUUUCAAUGAAGAAUUAGUUAACAAACAUAAUUUGAGCAGCUCAACUUCAUCUUGUGCCGUGAAGUCCAAGCAGCGUAAAGUAGUACAUAUAUUGGACAGUGUACCUUGCCCAGUAGCUCAAGCCAUUAACUUCGAAGAUAUCCCAACAACUGUCAACCAUCCACCAAGACCUCAGUUGCCCCCUAGGGAGGCGAAUGGCAAUGUAGACGUGGUUAAUAUUAACCCUCUGUGACUGAUGUGGUAGUCUAGCAGACACCAACAGGCACAAAAGAGUAUUUUGUACCGUUAUUUUCCAUACAUCUACUCUCUCGUUCUCUGUACCUUCUUAUUGUGUACUCAUGCCUAUGUUAGUUUGUUCAGAUCGAUUGAUGUAAGCACACGUGCCAUUUUAAGCGAUAAAGUGUCUGCGAGUCAACCACAUCAAUAUUAAGUUUUGUUAUUAUGGAGAAAUCAAACAUAUCACAACAUUGUUCUAAGAGAACCUCAUGUGGAACUUUUAAAAACCGAAAUGAGGUAAUACUACAGUGGCUGGAGGAAGAGAGUGAGCAUGAGUUCAGCGAUAUGGAUGGUGAAUGCAAUGACCCCAAUUUUCAGCCAGAAACGGCUCUUUUAGAUAAUGAUGAAGACAAUGAAGAACAACAUGCGACUACCUCUGAGCCACAAAAUAUUUGUGAAGAAGUGAAUCAACAUCCAACAAGCGACUACUACAAAGGUAAGAAAGGAUUUUUGUGGAGUGCAAGAGAGCGACCAAAAACAUCUAGAACAGCAGCCCAUAACAUAGUUAGACUACCAGGUCGUCUGCAUACUUCUACCUUUGAAGGAUAUUUACAGCUAUGGUCCAAAAUUUUUGACGAAUCCAUGUUGGAAUGUUUAGUACAAUAUACUAAUCAAAAACUCUGUAACUACCGAGCUAAAUUUAAUAAUACUACAAAGGUGGAACUUAUGGAUACUUAUGUAACGGAAAUGAAAGCAUUCAUUGGCCUACUAUACUACACUUCAGUUUUUAAAUGUAAUGACGCAGAUCUUCGCACAAUAUUCGCAACCGAUGGCAGUGGCCGUGAAAUAUUUCGUUGUGGGAUGUCAAAUUUACGUUUUUCUUCUUUAGUAAACUGCCUUAGGUUUGACGAUUCAACUACCAGAGCGGAGCGUCUCAAAGACGAUCAACUUGCGCCAAUUUCAAAUUUCUUCAACAAAUUUAUUCUAAACAGUCAAUUUCAAUAUACACCCGGACCAUACCUUUGCAUCGAUGAAAUGUUACUGCCGUUUAAAGGUCGCUGCAAGUUUAUAAUUUACAUGCCUCAGAAACCAGCAAAGUAUGGCAUUAAAAUAAUGUUGUUAGUCGAUGCUCGCACAUACUACAUUUACAAUGCUUAUAUUUAUCAUGGUAAAAAUUCUGACGGUAUAUCCUGUUCCGAAGCAAACUCUACUGGACAAAAUUAAAUAUGUACAAGUAUUCAAAAGGCUGCCCAGGAGCUUCAGCUGUGCUAACGACAGAAGAAGAAAGUUUUAUUGUCAAAUGGGUUUGUUAUCUGGCGGAAAUAGGCUUUCCAGUAACAAAAUAUCAACUUUGAAACUGCGUUACUAACUUGGUUAUGGAACUAAAUCGGCCGAAUUCUUUUAAAAAUAAUAUACCAGACAGAAAGUGGUUGCAAGGGUUUUUGAAAAGAAAUCCCACAGUGAGUCAACGUGUUUCGCAAUCCUUAACAGUUUCUCGUGCAUCGGUAACAGAAUCUUCCAUAAGAAGUUGGUUUAAAAGAGUAUAUCAAUACUUGGAAAAUAACAAUUGUCUCGAUGUUUUAGAAGAUUCAACACGAAUCUUCAACUGUGAUGAGUCCGCGUUUUUUCUUUGUCCAAAAGGUCAAGCAGUUUUGACAAAACGCGGUUCAAAGCAUGUAUACUUCAGAUCUGGCAAUGAUGAUAAAGAAUGUUUUACAUUAUGCAUAGGAGCUUCCGCUUCCGGUAAAAUGAUGCCAACUUUUGCUCUCUUUCCAUACAAAAGACUUCCAACCAACAUACUUUCCAAAUUUCCUUCUGAUUGGGCUAUUGGAAAGUCGGAUUCAGGCUGGAUGACCUGUGAAACAUUUUAUGAAUAUAUAACAAAUGUCUUUUAUCCCUUCAUCCUGAAAGAAAAUAUACAACUCCCAAUCGUACUAUUUUUGGAUGGGCACACCUCACAUUUGUCGCUGCAUCUUAUUGAGUUUUGCAAGAAGCAAGGAAUCAUACUUAUAGCGCUUCUUCCAAACUCGACACACUUGCUGCAAUCAAUGGAUGUUGCAGUAUUUCAUAGUUUAAAAAAUGACUGGAGAAAGCAAAUACAAAAUUGGAGAAUGCUAAAUAAUGGACAAAGAAUAAAACGGGAAGAUUUCGGACCUAUUGUUCAGAAAUACAUACAAUCUACAAUCACUUCUGAUAUACUACAAAACGGUUUUAAGGCUUGUGGCAUAUUUCCGUUUAAUGAAGAUGCAGUGGCUUACAAUAAAAUUUUAAAACCUGACAUCAGAGACACAUCCAAUAUAAUCAGAGUACCAAACAUGAAUAUCGCAGAAAUUUCAGAGAACUAUGAAGCAACAAAAACACUUGAAACUAAUUCCGAAGAAUUUUUACAAAGUUUUGAGAAAAGGUUGCCGGCUGAAAAGCUUAAACUGUUUAUUGAGUGCAGCGGAACUUGGAAAGGUGAUGUUAAGGACGAAAACUUAUUUUACUUUUUGAGAAGUGUUAAGAAUGAGCAAACAAGCAGCUGCAUUGCAAGUAUUUCUAAUUCCGAUCUUAAUAUUACGAGUAUUUUAGCUAACAACGACUGUUUAUUGGAUAUCGAAAACAUGAGUAUUGAUUUCAUAGAUUUCAAUGAAGAAUUAGUUAACAAACAUAAUUUGAGCAGCUCAACUUCAUCUUGUGCCGUGAAGUCCAAGCAGCGUAAAGUAGUACAUAUAUUGGACAGUGUACCUUGCCCAGUAGCUCAAGCCAUUAACUUCGAAGAUAUCCCAACAACUGUCAACCAUCCACCAAGACCUCAGUUGCCCCCUAGGGAGGCGAAUGGCAAUGUAGACGUGGUUAAUAUUAACCCUCUGUGACUGAUGUGGUAGUCUAGCAGACACCAACAGGCACAAAAGAGUAUUUUGUACCGUUAUUUUCCAUACAUCUACUCUCUCGUUCUCUGUACCUUCUUAUUGUGUACUCAUGCCUAUGUUAGUUUGUUCAGAUCGAUUGAUGUAAGCACACGUGCCAUUUUAAGCGAUAAAGUGUCUGCGAGUCAACCACAUCAAUAUUAAGGUAGGUGUCUGUGAGACAAUCACAUCAGUAUUUUUGUUAUAUUUUCAUAGUGUCUCCUAAACAACACGUCAGUAAAAUUGUUAUUUUAUAGUUUUGUUAUUAUGGAGAAAUCAAACAUAUCACAACAUUGUUCUAAGAGAACCUCAUGUGGAACUUUUAAAAACCGAAAUGAGGUAAUACUACAGUGGCUGGAGGAAGAGAGUGAGCAUGAGUUCAGCGAUAUGGAUGGUGAAUGCAAUGACCCCAAUUUUCAGCCAGAAACGGCUCUUUUAGAUAAUGAUGAAGACAAUGAAGAACAACAUGCGACUACCUCUGAGCCACAAAAUAUUUGUGAAGAAGUGAAUCAACAUCCAACAAGCGACUACUACAAAGGUAAGAAAGGAUUUUUGUGGAGUGCAAGAGAGCGACCAAAAACAUCUAGAACAGCAGCCCAUAACAUAGUUAGACUACCAGGUCGUCUGCAUACUUCUACCUUUGAAGGAUAUUUACAGCUAUGGUCCAAAAUUUUUGACGAAUCCAUGUUGGAAUGUUUAGUACAAUAUACUAAUCAAAAACUCUGUAACUA